rnacentral:lncRNA from 1 species
CAGUUCAGCAGAAACUAAUAAACUUCUUCGAAGAAGGUGAGGUAGGGCCGGUUUAGGAUGACCUUUUAGAGAAUGCACAAUACAAAAAUUGGUUCUGGUUAAGACCAUAUGAAUUCUUUGUGUCCUAGGAAAUACAGGCAGAUCUGUUUAUUUAAUAGAUCACUGCUUGAAGCAUAAGACAACAAAUAGGUGAAAGGAAUUGAGUCCCCAUAUCAGUUUGAUUGAUCGAACUACUUUUAAGCUCUGAUUGGGUAAAUUGACACAAUGUACUUACCAAAAACGAUUGAUUAAACACAGCUUAGGAGCAGAAGAAGACAAAUGGGUGAAAGGAUAUGAUUCCUCGAGCAGCUUAGCUAUAUUGGCUGAUCCAUACUCCAUAUAUUGGACUCUGAUCGGGUAAAAUGACAGCAUUUUGUUAACUGUAAUAGAUCAAAGUCACUUGAGA